GUUACGCGGAAUCACUGGGCUUAAAGCGUGUGUAGGCGGAUCGGUAAGUACCUUGUGAAAUCCCACAGCUUAACUGUGGAACUGCUUGGUAUACUGCCAGUCUUGAGCCAGCUAGGGGCUACCGGAACAAAUGGUGGAGCGGUGAAAUGCGUAGAUAUCAUUUGGAACGCCAAUGGUGAAAACAGGUAGCUGGGGCUGUGCUGACGCUGAGACACGAAAGCCAGGGGAGCAAACGGG
rnacentral:rRNA from 1 species